rnacentral:lncRNA from 1 species
CUUCUGUGUUUUCACACCGGGAUACCGGCAUCGCCGAGGCGGGGAGGAGGAGCACCCGUCUGCAGAAGGGGUGUGGGGGCUGCACGCAGGGCCCCCGCCUGUCCAAAGGGGAGGUGGGCAGGGUCCCAGGUGGAGACAGAAGGUGGUAGGAGGUUGUUCCAGUUGGACGUCCCAGUGCAACCAGGCUGCAGGGAGAUGGUGCAGGGACGAGCACGAGCACGGGUCUUAUUUGCUCUGAGCAUUUCUCUGCAGGGCUUUGCUGCAAGAGGGAAACUCCCUCCACCCAAGGCACAGCCCCUGGCUCCUACAGGGACCGUGGGCAUCGUGGCCCCGUCACAGCCCCGGGUCCCACAUUGCAGAGAGCAUCACUGCUGUGGAUGCACGAGGGCAUGGGGCUGGGCUGCUCUGGGAGCCCCACGGGAGAUUUGGCAGCACCCUGCACUGCCGGGUCUCUGCACCCUGCUCCCCUCCGUGCCCCCUCCAAACCCCCCCUUGGCUCCCUGCUGCCCCGGGCAGCCCAGCAGCGGGUGCGGGCAGGUCGGGAUGUGCAGGGGAGCCCAGCUGGAGGCAGAGGCAGCUGGCCAGGCUGCAGCCUCGGGCAAGCCUGUGGAGAUGGGGCUGAGCUGGGGUGGCACAGGGGGCUGGGUGCUGGGAAGCUGGGUGCCCCGGGGCAUUGCCACACCUGGGCGAGAUGAAGGGCUGCACGGCAAGGUGCCUGACCUGGGAGAUUUGUGGCUCUGCCCCUCCAGUUUGUGCUCACAGCUGGAUGUCCCCAAAGUGGGGGCGUCCUCAUGGACUCGGGAACCUCCUUCCCCUUCCAAACCCCAGCCGGGGUCAGGCGUCCUGUCCUGUGGGAGCCCACUCGAGCCCCUUCCCCGCCGCCUCCCACCCCAGGGGGUGGUGAUGCUGUGCGGGGCGAGCACCCGGCCGUGCCAGCCGCUUGCUGGGAAGCCCUGGGUGGGUGCCGGCUGCGCCCUGCAGGAAGGCGAUGCUCGCCCCCGCCCCGGGCUCUUGGCCCCAUGAAACCCUGGCUGCGAGCCCCAAAAUGGUGGCCAAGGGUUGGGGAGGCCAAAAAUGUGCCUUCAUUCCGUGGAAAAUUACAGAUGCUUUUUUUCUUUUUUUUUUU